rnacentral:rRNA from 1 species
GGAAGCGUCUGGAAAGGCGCGCGAUACAGGGUGACAGCCCCGUACACAAAAAUGCACAUACUGUGAGCUCGAUGAGUAGGGCGGGACACGUGGUAUCCUGUCUGAAUAUGGGGGGACCAUCCUCCAAGGCUAAAUACUCCUGACUGACCGAUAGUGAACCAGUACCGUGAGGGAAAGGCGAAAAGAACCCCGGCGAGGGGAGUGAAAAAGAACCUGAAACCGUGUACGUACAAGCAGUGGGAGCCUCUUAAUGGGGUGACUGCGUACCUUUUGUAUAAUGGGUCAGCGACUUAUAUUCUGUAGCAAGGUUAACCGAAUAGGGGAGCCGAAGGGAAACCGAGUCUUAACUGGGCGUUAAGUUGCAGGGUAUAGACCCGAAACCCGGUGAUCUAGCCAUGGGCAGGUUGAAGGUUGGGUAACACUAACUGGAGGACCGAACCGACUAAUGUUGAAAAAUUAGCGGAUGACUUGUGGCUGGGGGUGAAAGGCCAAUCAAACCGGGAGAUAGCUGGUUCUCCCCGAAAGCUAUUUAGGUAGCGCCUCGUGAAUUCAUCUCCGGGGGUAGAGCACUGUUUCGGCAAGGGGGUCAUCCCGACUUACCAACCCGAUGCAAACUGCGAAUACCGGAGAAUGUUAUCACGGGAGACACACGGCGGGUGCUAACGUCCGUCGUGAAGAGGGAAACAACCCAGACCGCCAGCUAAGGUCCCAAAGUCAUGGUUAAGUGGGAAACGAUGUGGGAAGGCCCAGACAGCCAGGAUGUUGGCUUAGAAGCAGCCAUCAUUUAAAGAAAGCGUAAUAGCUCACUGGUCGAGUCGGCCUGCGCGGAAGAUGUAACGGGGCUAAACCAUGCACCGAAGCUGCGGCAGCGACACUAUGUGUUGUUGGGUAGGGGAGCGUUCUGUAAGCCUGUGAAGGUGUACUGUGAGGUAUGCUGGAGGUAUCAGAAGUGCGAAUGCUGACAUAAGUAACGAUAAAGCGGGUGAAAAGCCCGCUCGCCGGAAGACCAAGGGUUCCUGUCCAACGUUAAUCGGGGCAGGGUGAGUCGACCCCUAAGGCGAGGCCGAAAGGCGUAGUCGAUGGGAAACAGGUUAAUAUUCCUGUACUUGGUGUUACUGCGAAGGGGGGACGGAGAAGGCUAUGUUGGCCGGGCGACGGUUGUCCCGGUUUAAGCGUGUAGGCUGGUUUUCCAGGCAAAUCCGGAAAAUCAAGGCUGAGGCGUGAUGACGAGGCACUACGGUGCUGAAGCGACAAAUGCCCUGCUUCCAGGAAAAGCCUCUAAGCAUCAGGUAACAUCAAAUCGUACCCCAAACCGACACAGGUGGUCAGGUAGAGAAUACCAAGGCGCUUGAGAGAACUCGGGUGAAGGAACUAGGCAAAAUGGUGCCGUAACUUCGGGAGAAGGCACGCUGAUAUGUAGGUGAAGCGACUUGCUCGUGGAGCUGAAAUCAGUCGAAGAUACCAGCUGGCUGCAACUGUUUAUUAAAAACACAGCACUGUGCAAACACGAAAGUGGACGUAUACGGUGUGACGCCUGCCCGGUGCCGGAAGGUUAAUUGAUGGGGUUAGCGGUAACGCGAAGCUCUUGAUCGAAGCCCCGGUAAACGGCGGCCGUAACUAUAACGGUCCUAAGGUAGCGAAAUUCCUUGUCGGGUAAGUUCCGACCUGCACGAAUGGCGUAAUGAUGGCCAGGCUGUCUCCACCCGAGACUCAGUGAAAUUGAACUCGCUGUGAAGAUGCAGUGUACCCGCGGCAAGACGGAAAGACCCCGUGAACCUUUACUAUAGCUUGACACUGAACAUUGAGCCUUGAUGUGUAGGAUAGGUGGGAGGCUUUGAAGUGUGGACGCCAGUCUGCAUGGAGCCGACCUUGAAAUACCACCCUUUAAUGUUUGAUGUUCUAACGUGGGCCCCUUACCGGGGUUGCGGACAGUGUCUGGUGGGUAGUUUGACUGGGGCGGUCUCCUCCUAAAGAGUAACGGAGGAGCACGAAGGUUGGCUAAUCCUGGUCGGACAUCAGGAGGUUAGUGCAAUGGCAUAAGCCAGCUUGACUGCGAGCGUGACGGCGCGAGCAGGUGCGAAAGCAGGUCAUAGUGAUCCGGUGGUUCUGAAUGGAAGGGCCAUCGCUCAACGGAUAAAAGGUACUCCGGGGAUAACAGGCUGAUACCGCCCAAGAGUUCAUAUCGACGGCGGUGUUUGGCACCUCGAUGUCGGCUCAUCACAUCCUGGGGCUGAAGUAGGUCCCAAGGGUAUGGCUGUUCGCCAUUUAAAGUGGUACGCGAGCUGGGUUUAGAACGUCGUGAGACAGUUCGGUCCCUAUCUGCCGUGGGCGCUGGAGAACUGAGGGGGGCUGCUCCUAGUACGAGAGGACCGGAGUGGACGCAUCACUGGUGUUCGGGUUGUCAUGCCAAUGGCACUGCCCGGUAGCUAAAUGCGGAAGAGAUAAGUGCUGAAAGCAUCUAAGCACGAAACUUGCCCCGAGAUGAGUUCUCCCUGACUCCUUGAGAGUCCUGAAGGAACGUUGAAGACGACGACGUUGAUAGGCCGGGUGUGUAAGCGCAGCGAUGCGUUGAGCUAACCGGUACUAAUGAACCGUGAGGCUUAACCUUACAACGCCGAAG